AACGAACGCUGGCGGCAGGCCUAACACAUGCAAGUCGAACGAGGUGCCAGAGCUUGCUCUGGUUACCUAGUGGCGCACGGGUGAGUAACGCGUGGGAAUAUGCCCAACAGUGGGGAAUAACUUCGGGAAACUGAAGCUAAUACCGCAUACGCCCUUCGGGGGAAAGGCUUCGGCCGCUGAUGGAUUAGCCCGCGUUGAAUUAGCUUGUUGGUGGGGUAAUGGCCUACCAAGGCGACGAUUCAUAGCUGGUCUGAGAGGACGAUCAGCCACACUGGGACUGAGACACGGCCCAG
rnacentral:rRNA from 1 species